rnacentral:rRNA from 1 species
AGCAGCCGCGGUAAUUCCAGCUCCAAUAGCGUAUAUUAAAGUUGUUGCAGUUAAAAAGCUCGUAGUUGAAUUUCGGGGUCAGUAGGCUGGUCGUGCCCCCGGUACGUACUGGUCUAACUGAUUCCAUCCUUCCUGAAGAACCGUAAUGCCAUUAAUUUGGUGUUGCGGGGAAACAGGACUGUUACUUUGAAAAAAUUAGAGUGUUUAAAGCAAGCUAACGCUUGAAUACAUUAGCAUGGAAUAAUGAAAUAGGACGAUCGAUCCUAUUUUGUUGGUUUCUAGGAUUGACGUAAUGAUUAAUAGGGAUAGUUGGGGGCAUUAGUAUUCAAUUGUCAGAGGUGAAAUUCUUGGAUUUAU